rnacentral:rRNA from 1 species
CAGCACCUCAAGUGGUCAGGAUGAUUAUUGGGCCUAAAGCAUCCGUAGCCGGCGCUGUAAGUUUUCGGUUAAAUCUGUACGCUCAACGUACAGGCUGCCGGGAAUACUGCAGCGCUAGGGAGUGGGAGAGGUAGACGGUACUCGGUAGGAAGGGGUAAAAUCCUUUGAUCUAUCGAUGACCACCUGUGGCGAAGGCGGUCUACCAGAACACGUCCGACGGUGAGGGAUGAAAGCUGGGGGAGCAAACCGGAUUAGAUACCCGUGUAGUCC